GAUGAACGCUAGCGGCAGGCUUAAUACAUGCAAGUCGAGGGGUAACAGGUCUGUAGCAAUACAGAUGCUGACGACCGGCAAACGGGUGCGGAACACGUACAGAACCUUCCUUCGAGUGGGAGAUAGCCCAGGGAAACUUGGAGUAAUAUCCCAUAGGAUCAUAGAGUGGCAUCACUUAGUGAUUAAAGAUUUAUCGCUUGAAGAUGGCUGUGCGGCUGAUUAGGUAGUUGGUGUAGGUAACGGCUCACCAAGCCUUCGAUCAGUAACUGGUGUGAGAGAACGACCAGUCACACGGGCACUGAGACACGGGCCCGACUCCUACGGGAGGCAGCAGUAAGGAAUAUUGGGCAAUGGAGGCAACUCUGACCCAGCCAUGCCGCGUGGAGGAUGAAGGUCCUCUGGAUUGUAAACUUCUUUUAUCUGGGACGAAAAAGGGCCUUUCUAGGUCAACUGACGGUACCAGAUGAAUAAGCACCGGCUAACUCCGUGCCAGCCGCCGCGGUAAUAC
rnacentral:rRNA from 1 species